UUGGGUAAAUUUCUGUAGCACCCUAUGUGGGGGGCCCCCUUCUAAGCGGUCAAACCACUGCUCUGGAGGCCUGCACCCCGGAUUCGAGUGCUUUGUUCCCCUCCUGCAUCGGCUUCCGAUCCAGCCUCCUGCCGAUGCGCACCCUAGGAAGCAGUGGGUGGGUGGGGGGGUGAUGGGGGCGGGGAUUCCUGCCACCCACGUGGGAAAGCCGCGUAGAGUUCCUGAGGUCCUGCACAUCUGGGGAGUGACCCAGCGGAUGGAAAAGCUCUAUCUUUAAAUUUAACAGGAAAAAAAAAAAGACUUCGGGGUGGCUUUUAUUUACUGGCCGCCCUGAGCAUUCCACAGUGCGAGCCGGACCAGUCGCCAGGAAACUUGCGCACACGUAAAAGCGGGAGGAGGGACGGAGAGGACCCGGGGCUUCUACCUGGCGGGCUCCGGGCUGAGCGCCCCGACGGCCGCGCCUGCGGCCCCACCGCCGCCCGCCCGCCCGCGUCCGAGCGGGCGCCCCUUGCACCGGCUCCCGCGAGUCCGCCCCUUACCCCGAGGGCAGAUGUUUCCUGGCUUGGGGGACCGAGACCCGGCAUCCGCUGCACUCGGGGUACCGAAGGCCGGUGUCGAUCACGGGCCCUCAGGCGCCCCGGCUAGCGGGGAGGUGGCGGCGGCCCCCGAAGGCCGUUUGGUUCAAAUGCAGCCACUCCCACCGGCCGGGUUCGGGACGCCGUGGGGGUCUGCCUCCGGCGCUCGGCGGGCUCGGGUUCCUUUCUAAAGGCGAGAGACCCCCCACCGGCCCUGCCUCACCUCACGCGCGCGGCCUUCGCGGAAGCGGCGCGGAGCCGGGUGAGGGCCGGGUCCGCGGACCGCAGGUGUGGACUCGGGCAGCGCCGGCCUCCCCCAGGCCCGCCGUCGGCCGGUCCAGCGCCCAGGUCUCCAUGGCAGCCGGGGCGGGGGCGGGGUGGGGUGGGGUCUGCGUCGCACGCGGGCGAUUCCCGCGGGACUUGGUGCCUGCGGCCAGGCGACCCCGACGUCGGCCCUUCCUCGAAGCUCGAAGUCUCCUCGCGCGCUUGGCCCGCGCCGCCCCCCGCAAUGCUUGCUCUUGGCUUUGUUCCGAAACGCUUAGAGGUACCUGGAAGUUCUUUGACUCAGAGGCUACCAGCACACUCCAUAGGCUCUUCAGUGAUCUUGAAGAAGGACAUUAUUUUAAAGGGAGAGGCCACAGUAGGGUGGUGUCUCAGAAGGAAAGAAAGUGUGCAUCUAGGUCUUCGAUGCCCAAUAAAACUUGGUUACAGACUAACUACACCAGAACAGACACUCACAGAACAUUCCACCCACAGCUUCAGGUGACACAUUCUUCUCACCAGCCUUGGAACGCUGUCUAG
rnacentral:lncRNA from 1 species